rnacentral:rRNA from 1 species
UGGGGAAUAUUGCACAAUGGGCGCAAGCCUGAUGCAGCAACGCCGCGUGAACGAUGAAGGUCUUCGGAUCGUAAAGUUCUGUUGCAGGGGAAGAUAAUGACGGUACCCUGUGAGGAAGCCCCGGCUAACUACGUGCCAGCAGCCGCGGUAAUACGUAGGGGGCUAGCGUUAUCCGGAUUUACUGGGGGUAAAGGGUGCGUAGGUGGUCCUUCAAGUCGGUGGUUAAAGGCUACGGCUCAACCGUAGUAAGCCGCCGAAACUGGAGGACUUGAGUGCAGGAGAGGAAAGUGGAAUUCCCAGUGUGGCGGUGAAAUGCGUAGAAAUUGGGAGGAACACCAGUAGAGAAGGCGGCUUUCUGGACUGCAACUGACACUGAGGCACGAAAGCGUGGGUAGCAGACAGG